UACGGGGGGGGCUAGCGUUGUUCGGAAUUACUGGGCGUAAAGGGCUCGUAGGCGGCCAUCUCAGUCAGACGUGAAAUCCCUCGGCUCAACCGGGGAACUGCGUCUGAUACUGGAUGGCUCGAAUCCGGGAGAGGGAUGCGGAAUUCCAGGUGUAGCGGUGAAAUGCGUAGAUAUCUGGAGGAACACCGGUGGCGAAGGCGGCAUCCUGGACCGGUAUUGACGCUGAGGAGCGAAAGCCAGGGGAGCAAAC
rnacentral:rRNA from 1 species